UCGGACCUCAGAUCAGACAAGACCACCCGCU
rnacentral:rRNA from 1 species